UAACAUUGGUUGUGUAUGCCGGUAAGUACCGAGUUAGUGGUUUUUGCCAAAGUGAAGUAUUCAGUGUUUGAACGGUGAAGCUCUGAUGUAACCAUGGAAAUAUUAAAGAUGAAGGUUGAACCUUUUUCUGAUGAGGAGCAGGACACUUUGCUGGAUAUCCAAUUUGUGAAAAAAGAAGAAGAUGGCUUUAUAAUAACUAGUAAAACAGGAGAAGCUGAUUUCUUAGAAGAAAGAUCUUCAGAUAACACUUUCAAGUUUGGUGUAGCAAAAGAAGAACAAGAAGAGAACUAUGAUGGAGGAACAGAAAAAACUUA